ACCAAGCUUCCAGGAAAAGCCACUAAGCUUCAGUCUAGAGUUGACCGUACCGCAAACCGACACAGGUGGGCAGGAUGAAAAUUCUAAGGCGCUUGAGAGAACUCAGGAGAAGGAACUCGGCAAAUUAACACCGUAACUUCGGGAGAAGGUGUGCCCCGGUAGCGUGUAGAGACUUGCUCUCGAAGCGCGAUGGGGUUGCAGUGAAAUGGUGGCUGCGACUGUUUAAUAAAAACACAGCACUCUGCAAACACGAAAGUGGACGUAUAGGGUGUGACGCCUGCCCGGUGCCGGAAGGUUAAGUGAUGGGGUGCAAGCUCUUGAUCGAAGCCCCGGUAAACGGCGGCCGUAACAAUAACGGUCCUAAGGUAGCGAAAUUCCUUGUCGGGUAAGUUCCGACCUGCACGAAUGGCGUAACGAUGGCCACACUGUCUCCUCCUGGGACUCAGCGAAGUUGAAAUGUUUGUGAAGAUGCAAUCUACCCGCGGCUAGACGGAAAGACCCCAUGAACCUUUACUGUAGCUUUGCAUUGGACUUUGAACCGGUUUGUGUAGGAUAGGUGGGAGACUGUGAAGCCGGGACGCUAGUUUCGGUGGAGUCAACCUUGAAAUACCACCCUGAUUUGUUUGAGGUUCUAACCUUGGUCCGUGAAUCCGGAUCGGGGACCGUGCAUGGUAGGCAGUUUGACUGGGGCGGUCUCCUCCCAAAAGGUAACGGAGGAGUACGAAGGUACGCUUAGGGCGGUCGGACAUCGCCCACAAAGUGCAAUGGCAAAAGCGUGCUUGACUGCGAGACCCUCAAGUCGAGCAGGUACGAAAGUAGGUCAUAGUGAUCCGGUGGUUCUGUAUGGAAGGGCCAUCGCUCAACGGAUAAAAGGUACUCUGGGGAUAACAGGCUAAUUCCUCCCAAGAGUUCAUAUCGACGGGGGAGUUUGGCACCUCGAUGUCGGCUCAUCACAUCCUGGGGCUGUAGUCGGUCCCAAGGGUAUGGCUGUUCGCCAUUUAAAGUGGUACGCGAGCUGGGUUUAAAACGUCGUGAGACAGUUUGGUCCCUAUCUGCCGUGGGCGCUGGAAAUUUGAAGGGGGCUGCUCCUAGUACGAGAGGACCGGAGUGGACGAACCUCUGGUGUACCGGUUAUGACGCCAGUCGUAUCGCCGGGUAGCUAAGUUCGGAAGAGAUAAACGCUGAAAGCAUCUAAGCGUGAAACUCGCCUUAAGAUAAGAUUUCCCGGAGGC
rnacentral:rRNA from 1 species